UAGACCGCCUGGGGAGUACGGCCGCAAGGUUAAAACUCAAAUGAAUUGACGGGGGCCCGCACAAGCGGUGGAGCAUGUGGUUUAAUUCGAUGCAACGCGAAGAACCUUACCUGGUCUUGACAUCCACGGAAGUUUUCAGAGAUGGAAUGGUGCCUUCGGGAACCGUGAGACAGGUGCUGCAUGGCUGUCGUCAGCUCGUGUUGUGAAAUGUUGGGUUAAGUCCCGCAACGAGCGCAACCCUUAUCCUUUGUUGCCAGCGGUUAGGCCGGGAACUCAAAGGAGACUGCCAGUGAUAAACUGGAGGAAGGUGGGGAUGACGUCAAGUCAUCAUGGCCCUUACGACCAGGGCUACACACGUGCUACAAUGGCGCAUACAAAGAGAAGCGACCUCGCGAGAGCAAGCGGACCUCAUAAAGUGCGUCGUAGUCCGGAUUGGAGUCUGCAACUCGACUCCAUGAAGUCGGAAUCGCUAGUAAUCGUGGAUCAGAAUGCCACGGUGAAUACGUUCCCGGGCCUUGUACACACCGCCCGUCACACCAUGGGAGUGGGUUACAAAAGAAGUAGGUAGCUUAACCUUCGGGAGGGCGCUUACCACUUUGUGAUUCAUGACUGGGGUGAAGUCGUAACAAGGUAACCGUAGGGGAACCUGCGGUUGGAUCACCUCCUUACCUGAAAGAAGC
rnacentral:rRNA from 1 species